GGCAACAGCAUCCAGCGCCUGGGGGAGGUGAAUAAGCUGGCUGUCCUUCCUCGGCUCCGUAGCCUGACACUCCAUGGGAACCCCAUGGAGGAAGAGAAAGGGUAUAGACGGAGUCUCACUCUGUCACACAGGCUGGAGUGCAGUGGCACGAUCUUGGCUCACUGCAACCUCAGCCUCCCAGGUUCAAGAGAUUCUCCUGCCUCAGCCUCCCCAGUAGCUGUGAUUAAAGGCGCCUGCCACCAUGACUGGCUAA
rnacentral:lncRNA from 10 species